AAUCAGUUUAAACGGUGCUAGUGUGAGGCCAGUCACACAAACUGGCGAGUGCUAAUUAAAAUAUAUUGUGUUAAUAAUACAAACACCAGGCUCACGCAGAGGAAACAACACGGAUGCGCGAUUUUAAAUGCAAUAUUAUAAAUAUUUAACAAUGCAGCCGUGCAGCUAAAGCGGAUUAUUGGCCACCCACGCGUGGAAAUUCAGCGGCAGAGCAAACAAAAGCCUGCCUGGGCAUCGCAUCAACUUGAGGAAAUACAGAUGGCCACGCCCGCCGCACCGCCCACCGAUGAUAAUUGAAUAGGACCAUUAAUUGCACUGUGGUUUGUUGGUUCUCGCCACACCCACACACACGCUCCAC
rnacentral:sRNA from 1 species